rnacentral:lncRNA from 1 species
GCUACUGCCUUCCACUCGGCUCCUGCCCUCCUUUCUCCCGGGCCGGGCGACACCGGGUGGCGCCAACUGCAGUGUGUGUACAAGCGGGAGAGCGCGCGGGAACACCCCUCUGCCACUACACAGGAACUCGGCUGUUAUUCAUGGAGAACUCUGGGCGAACACGCCCCCCUCGGGGUGACCGCGAUUAUUGUGUGCCCGGCCCACGGCAACACACACCCCAUUCCUGCGCGAGGGGGUGGACCUUUAAAACCUUCCCACUCACCCCACCCGGAGCAGCUUCUGUGGCCAGACUGGCGAGUCCUGGCGGCUCUGAGCCCUGUUGUCACCCCCUCCUCCGCACACGGCGAUUUUCUGGGGCACGGUGUGUGGCUCUGGAUCCGGGAUACCCAAGACGCCCCUGGCCCCAGCCAUGCCUACCCCCGCCGGGGCGCAGAGGGGUGUGUGUGUAGUGUGCAGUGUGUGUGCACUGCUCCCUGGUCUUUCCCCAUCCCCGGGGUCUUUCUAUCCUCUCCACGCGACCAGGGAUUUCGAGCCUACCCAGGCCUCACGCGGCUGCAGGGCCACAAACGGGUGCCCACCGCCUACCUCGGUCCCCAGCUCCCGGAGCGCGGGCUCCGCACGGCUGUGCGCUUCCCUCUGUGUGCUUGGCGCCUCGGCAGGACUGGCGACCCAUGGCAGCGCCGGCCGGCGUUUGUUUCCUCGGGCUCCCCGGGCUCCGGGUGUGCUAGGCGCUGGGACACUCCCCUCCCUGGCUCCUCCCAGCCCUCCGCGCUUAUGUCACGCCGCUGCCGCAGCCAAUGGCUGUCCCGGAACUCAGCCUGGCCUUUCGACUUCCCCGGUUCAAACCUAAAAGCCCGAGGCUCCCUCCCCAGCGGCUCCCUGUGGGGGUACCCGACGAAACUGGUCCUGCUCCGAGGAGUUGCCCCCCGCACGGUGCUCCCCUGUGCUCUGGAGGGUAACCAGACUUGGGCUUCGCAGAACCAGGAGCGCAUCCCCUCCCCAGGGCCCAAGAGAAGGCCCUCUGUAGGCUCUUCCAGUUUUGAACAAUGGGCCAGGGACCAGGACAGCGUGAGAGCUCUGAAGAGCUCAUACCACACAUGAGUUCUGGUACCAUGGAGGCCACUAUAUCAGAGGACCUGGC